rnacentral:rRNA from 1 species
UAACGGCUCACCAAGGCGACGAUCCCUAGCUGGUCUGAGAGGAUGACCAGCCACACUGGAACUGAGACACGGUCCAGACUCCUACGGGAGGCAGCAGUGGGGAAUAUUGCACAAUGGGCGCAAGCCUGAUGCAGCCAUGCCGCGUGUAUGAAGAAGGCCUUCGGGUUGUAAAGUACUUUCAGCGGGGAGGAAGGGAGUAAAGUUAAUACCUUUGCUCAUUGACGUUACCCGCAGAAGAAGCACCGGCUAACUCCGUGCCAGCAGCCGCGGUAAUACGGAGGGUGCAAGCGUUAAUCGGAAUUACUGGGCGUAAAGCGCACGCAGGCGGUUUGUUAAGUCAGAUGUGAAAUCCCCGGGCUCAACCUGGGAACUGCAUCUGAUACUGGCAAGCUUGAGUCUCGUAGAGGGGGGUAGAAUUCCAGGUGUAGCGGUGAAAUGCGUAGAGAUCUGGANGNGANAUACCNGGUGGCGAAGGCGGCCCCCUGGACGAAGACUGACGCUCAGGUGCGAAAGCGUGGGGAGCAAACANGGAUUAGAUACCCUGGUAGUCCACGCCGUAAACGAUGUCGACUUGGAGGUUGUGCCCUUGAGGCGUGGCUUCCGGAGCUAACGCGUUAAGUCGACCGCCUGGGGAGUACGGCCGNCAAGGUUAAAACUCAAAUGAAUUGACGGGGGCCCGCACAAGCGGUGGAGCAUGUGGUUUAAUUCGAUGCAACGCGAAGAACCUUACCUGGUCUUGACAUCCACGGAAGUUUUCAGAGAUGAGAAUGUGCCUUCGGGAACCGUGAGACAGGUGCUGCAUGGCUGUCGUCAGCUCGUGUUGUGAAAUGUUGGGUUAAGUCCCGCAACGAGCGCAACCCUUAUCCUUUGUUGCCAGCGGUCCGGCCGGGAACUCAAAGGAGACUGCCAGUGAUAAACUGGAGGAAGGUGGGGAUGACGUCAAGUCAUCAUGGCCCUUACGACCAGGGCUACACACGUGCUACAAUGGCGCAUACAAAGAGAAGCGACCUCGCGAGAGCAAGCGGACCUCAUAAAGUGCGUCGUAGUCCGGAUUGGAGUCUGCAACUCGACUCCAUGAAGUCGGAAUCGCUAGUAAUCGUGGAUCAGAAUGCCACGGUGAAUA